AGUGAACGCUGGCGGUAGGCCUAACACAUGCAAGUCGAACGGCAGCACAGUAAGAGCUUGCUCUUACGGGUGGCGAGUGGCGGACGGGUGAGGAAUACAUCGGAAUCUACUUUUUCGUGGGGGAUAACGUAGGGAAACUUACGCUAAUACCGAAUACGACCAACGGGGGAAAGCAGGGGAUCUUCGGACUUUUGGCGUUUGAAUGAGCCGAUGUCGGAUUAGCUAGUUGGCGGGGUAAAGGCCCACCAAGGCGACGAUCCGUAGCUGGUCUGAGAGGAUGAUCAGCCACACUGGAACUGAGACACGGUCCAGACUCCUACGGGAGGCAGCAGUGGGGAAUAUUGGACAAUGGGCGCAAGCCUGAUCCAGCCAUACCGCGUGGGUGAAGAAGGCCUUCGGGUUGUAAAGCCCUUUUGUUGGGAAAGAAAAGCAGCAGGUUAAUACCCCGCUGUUCUGACGGUACCCAAAGAAUAAGCACCGGCUAACUUCGUG
rnacentral:rRNA from 1 species